CCUACGGGGGGCAGCAGUAGGGAAUUUUCGUCAAUGGGCGCAAGCCUGAACGAGCAAUGCCGCGUGAACGAGGAAGGUCUUCGGAUCGUAAAGUUCUGUUGAAGGGGAAAAAGAGCGGAGAGAGGAAAUGGUCUCCGAUUGAUAUUACCCUUCGAGGAAGUCACGGCUAACUACGUGCCAGCAGCCGCGGUAAUACGUAGGUGGCAAGCGUUAUCCGGAAUUAUUGGGUGUAAAGGGUGCGUAGACGGGUGUUUAAGUUGGUUGUGAAAUCCCUCGGCUCAACUGAGGAACUGCAACCAAAACUG
rnacentral:rRNA from 1 species